CUCCUUUGACGUUAGCGGCGGACGGGUGAGUAACACGUGGGUAACCUACCUAUAAGACUGGGAUAACUUCGGGAAACCGGAGCUAAUACCGGAUAAUAUUUCGAACCGCAUGGUUCGAUAGUGAAAGGUGGUUUUGCUAUCACUUAUAGAUGGACCCGCGCCGUAUUAGCUAGUUGGUAAGGUAACGGCUUACCAAGGCGACGAUACGUAGCCGACCUGAGAGGGUGAUCGGCCACACUGGAACUGAGACACGGUCCAGACUCCUACGGGAGGCAGCAGCG
rnacentral:rRNA from 1 species